UACGGAGGGUGCGAGCGUUGUCCGGAAUCACUGGGCGUAAAGGGCGCGUAGGCGGUCUGCUAAGCGUGCGGUGAAAGCCUGGGGCUCAACCCCAGGUCUGCCGUGCGAACUGGUGGACUAGAGCACUGUAGAGGCAGGUGGAAUUCCGGGUGUAGCGGUGGAAUGCGUAGAGAUCCGGAAGAACACCGGUGGCGAAGGCGGCCUGCUGGGCAGUUGCUGACGCUGAGGCGCGACAGCGUGGG
rnacentral:rRNA from 1 species